ACUCAACGAUGUACUGGCAGGUUAAUAUCUGAACUUACUACUAAUGGGUAGUAAUACCUUAACUCUUAGAAUUAUGUUGAGACCUU
rnacentral:snoRNA from 1 species